GAUAGCAUAGCUCAGUGGCAGAGCAUCUGCUUGGCAUGCAGGAGGUUCUGAGUUCAAACCCUGGCAGCAUCU